AGAGUUUGAUCCUGGCUCAGAAUCAACGCUGGCGGCGCGCCGAACACAUGCAAGUCGAACGCGAAAGUCCCGCAAGGGAUCAGUAGAGUGGCAAACGGGUGAGUAACACGUGGGUGACCUGCCUUCGAGUGGGGGAUAACGUCCCGAAAGGGACGCUAAUACCGCAUGACAUCCUGCCUUUGAAUAGGUGGAGAUCAAAGCUGGGGAUCGCAAGACCUAGCGCUCAAAGAGGGGCCCGCGCCUGAUUAGCUAGUUGGUGGGGUAACGGCUCACCAAGGCAACGAUCAGUAUCCGGCCUGAGAGGGCGGACGGACACACUGGGACUGAGACACGGCCCAGACUCCUACGGGAGGCAGCAGUGGGGAAUUGUUCGCAAUGGGCGCAAGCCUGACGACGCAACGCCGCGUGGAUGAUGAAGAUCUUCGGGUCGUAAACUCCUUUCGAUCGAGACGAACGGCUCCCGGGUAAACAAUCCGGGAGAGUGACGGUACCGAGAGAAGAAGCCCCGGCUAACUCCGUGCCAGCAGCCGCGGUAAUACGGGGGGGGCAAGCGUUGUUCGGAAUUACUGGGCGUAAAGGGCUCGUAGGCG
rnacentral:rRNA from 1 species